GUGAGGAAUUUUCCGCAAUGGGCGAAAGCCUGACGGAGCAAUGCCGCGUGAAGGAUGAAGGCCUAUGGGUUGUAAACUUCUUUUCUCAGAAAAGAAUUAUGACGGUAUCUGAGGAAUAAGCAUCGGCUAACUCUGUGCCAGCAGCCGCGGUAAGACAGAGGAUGCAAGCGUUAUCCGGAAUGAUUGGGCGUAAAGCGUCUGUAGGUUGUUUAAAAAGUAUUCUGUCAAAGAUUAGGGCUUAACCCUAGAUAGGCAGAAUAAACUUUUAAGCUAGAGUUUGGUAGAGGCAGAGGGAAUUCCCGGUGGAGCGGUGAAAUGCGUAGAUAUCGGGAGGAACACCAAAGGCGAAAGCACUCUGCUGGGCCAAUACUAACACUGAGAGACGAAAGCGAGGGGAGCAAAUGGGAUUAGAAACCCUUGUAGUCC
rnacentral:rRNA from 1 species